AGAGGUGAAGCAGAUUCCAAGGGAUGAAGUUGAAGAGAACUUUACCUUCAGCAAAAGGCUGAAAUGAGCAAUACGGGGAUCUUUCAUGAGCCCACCUGGCUGUUCAAGGCUCUUGAUGGACGAUGCUCUGGGGAGCUCCUGUUCAUAUCAGGGUGAGGAUAGGAGGAAGGGGAGAUGCUUUUGCAUUUAAACCUGUCUCUACUUUUGUAGUUCAUGUAGCUUCAACACAAGUUGCUUUCGUGACCUGGAGUGUGAGCUGUGAGAUCACAGUGACGCUGUUAACAGAUGAUUCUGGUUUUGCUUAUACUUUCAUUCAGCAUACACUUGUGAAUGCCUUCCAUGUGCCAGGCACUUUGCUAGGUCCCUGAGAAACAGCAGAGGACAAGGAACCCAUGUUCCCUUUCAUGGAGUGGACACUCCAGUGGGAGAGAAACAAACGAAAGAGCCAGUACAAAUGAGGCGUGCUCAGAAGGAAAAAUCCAUGGGGGCUGAAAGCCCAUGACAUGAGAUCCUGAUCUUACUGGCUGGAUGGAGGAGGGCCUCAUGCCUUCGGGAAGAGAAUGCUAAGGGCAAUGAGCGGUCCAGCAGGAGUCAGCCAGGUGAGGGGAGUGGACAGGAGCACCCCCUACAGAAGGACACUGCAACAUCAACGAGAAUUCACCAAGAAGCUCACCAAGCAGGAAAUGUAAGCAUGCAAGCAGGUGUAGCCAAGCUGAAUGAGGUCAGGCCUUCAUCUAUGUGACUGGAGGCCUUUUUAAAAGAGGAAAUUACAACAUGGUUAUAGAAGCCAGAAGCUGGAAGUCAGUAGAAACUGGAAAAGCAGACACAAGAAGAGAGAGAUGGCCAUGUGAUGUGGGGCAGAGAUGCAAGCCAAGUAACUCCAAGGAUAGCGGCAAGCCGACACCAGCAUGCUACACACUCUGGGGAGAAAAUAUAACCUUGUCAGUGUCUUGACUUUGGACUUCUAGCCUCUGAAACUCCCUCUACAAGUUAUCUACUGGGCGAUUUCUAAAGAAUGAGCUUGAAAUGUGGCUUAGCUACUGCAUGGUGGAGCAUAGAAGGCGCUAGAUUGGAAGGACGGAGUUCUGGAUUCUGGUAUCACCAUCUCACUAAGCAGCUGAAUGAUCUUGGUGCAACAGAAAUCUCGUGCCAAACGGAUGGAGAACAAUAAGAAGAUUCUAAAUGUCCUUUAUUUGCGAAAACACACAGUGUCAAGGAGUAUCCGGAUAUUCUCACAUUAUUUCCAGCCUCCAUCCUAAAGGUUCAUCUGUCCUAGUCGACUCCGAUCUAAAUGAGGACUGAAUCUAUUUUAUAGUCUUGGGCCCUGAACACUAGUAAACAGCACUUUGGACAUGGUAAGCAUUCAGUAAGUGCUAGUUGAAAUGAAUUGAAGGCGCCCUUCAUCUUCUCAUAGCACUUGAGUAGCUCAGGUGUCUUCAGCCUCUGCUUCCCUAUCCUGAAAUACCUGAGGGUCAGGACAAACUUCCAUCAUCCCAGCAGUUACCGUGGACACUUUUCUAAGGGAAGGCAUGCGACAAUCUGUGACUGUGGACUGAGAGGAACGGGGGUGAUUUGAAUCAAAACUUCUUGUAUGAUUCUAAUU